rnacentral:rRNA from 1 species
CUACGGGGGGCAGCAGUGGGGAAUAUUGCACAAUGGGCGCAAGCCUGAUGCAGCCAUGCCGCGUGUAUGAAGAAGGCCUUCGGGUUGUAAAGUACUUUCAGCGGGGAGGAAGGGAGUAAAGUUAAUACCUUUGCUCAUUGACGUUACCCGCAGAAGAAGCACCGGCUAACUCCGUGCCAGCAGCCGCGGUAAUACGGAGGGUGCAAGCGUUAAUCGGAAUUACUGGGCGUAAAGCGCACGCAGGCGGUUCGUUAAGUCAGAUGUGAAAUCCCCGGGCUCAACCUGGGAACUGCAUCUGAUACUGGCAAGCUUGAGUCUCGUAGAGGGGGGUAGAAUUCCAGGUGUAGCGGUGAUAUGCGUAGAGAUCUGGAGGAAUACCGGUGGCGAAGGCGGCCCCCUGGACGAAGACUGACGCUCAGGUGCGAAAGCGUGGGGAGCAAACAGGAUUAGAUACCCCGGUAGUC